UUCUGAAUAAUUUGAAUUGUAAUCGAAUGAAUAUUCAAAAUUAAUGGAAUGAACAAUGUUUCAAUUAAUUAGAAAUGUGUUUAAUGUAGUGUACAAAAAAUUACGAUUAAAUAAUGCAAAUGCAAGACUUCUCGAUAAAUUAGGCCAUACAUUUGGAUUGAAAAGAGAACAAGUUUUCUUAGUUUUUGUUCUCUUUCUUGGAGUUUAUUUGAUCAUUGGAGACGGAGCAGAAUUUGUCUGUAAUUUUUCUGCAAUCAUCUAUCCGAUUUAUUCUUCAAGACCAGAUGGUCGAGCCCAGCCUUCCGCCCGGGGUCUAAAACCAAAUCGUUUCCUAAAUUUCCAAAAAUUGGUUGUCGGCCUUUUUUUUGACCAAAUUAGAUCAUCUUUAUUAUAAGCCUCGUGACGGACAAAAAGGCUUAGGCUUAAUAUCUUCGGUGCCACAAUAGGGACAACAUGACACAUAUAGGUUAAACCAUCCUUUGAAUUUUUUGGGUAGACACGAACGUGAAUUUGAAUCCUUCAGGAUUGUAAAGAGUAAAAUCGAUAGAACAGGAAAAUAUAGAAGAAUCGAAAAGAAUGUUGAUGUUUUGGACAAUUUUUGGAUGGCUUUAUUUUCUGGAGCGCAUCUCUUUUUUCUCCAGAUACAUUCAUUAUUAUUGGAUUCUCAAAAUGGUUUUUCUGUUGCUUUGUUUCGUACCAAUACCAAAUAAUUUAUCUGAUUACUUCAUUCAGACCAUUGAUAAUGUUACAACAUAUUUAAAUGAUGCGGAUAAAAACGCUGCUACGCGGAAAACCUCUUCGGAGUCUCAAUAAUUCUUGUUUAAAAUUUAAGAAAUAAGAAUAAAAUAUGAGUAAAAAUA